UACGUAGGUGACAAGCGUUGUCCGGAUUUACUGGGCGUAAAGAGCGCGCAGGCGGUCGUUCAAGUCGAGUGUGAAAGCCCCCGGCUCAACUGGGGAGGGUCACUCGAUACUGAUCGACUCGAAGGCAGGAGAGGGUAGUGGAAUUCCCGGUGUAGUGGUGAAAUGCGUAGAUAUCGGGAGGAACACCGAUGGCGAAGGCAGCCCCCUGGGCUGAGAUUGACGCUCAGGCACGAAAGCGUGGGGAGCAAACAGG
rnacentral:rRNA from 1 species